rnacentral:lncRNA from 1 species
GGCAACGUCGAGUAACAAUUUGGCCAAAAAAUAUUGUCGAAUAUGUUUGUUUAAACCAUGAAAGGGAUUGAAAACAGUUUUUAAAACGAAGAUUAUGUUACUUAGAUUUUUAAAAGGAAGGAAUUAAUUUAGCCGCCCAAAACUGCGCAAUAUUGUUUAAUUAAACGGCGAUCUAAACGGUUAUAGAAAAAAAUUCUGUAAAUAAUUUUGAGGUGGAUGGAUUUCCGAGAAAACUUCAAAACUAAUCUAGAUAGUUAACGGCAACGUCGAGUAACAAUUUGGCCAAAAAAAAUUGUCGAAUAUGUUUGUUUAAACCAUGAAAGGGAUUGAACACAGUUUUUAAAACGAAGAUUAUGUUACUUAGAUUCUUAAAAGGAAGGAAUUCAUUUAGCCGCCUAAGACUGCGCAAUAUUGUUUAAUUAAACGGCGAUCUAAACGAUUAUAGAAAAAAUUCUGUAAAUGUAAUUUUUUUUUGUUCUAAGGUGUUGAUGACAUACCUGUUGAUGACUUUUUGAAUACAAAAUUUAUUUUUUCAGAAUUUUGAGGUGGAUGGAUUUCCGAGAAAACUUCAAAACUAAUCUAGAUAGUUAACGGCAACGUCGAGUAACAAUUUGGCCAAAAAAAAUUGUCGAAUAUGUUUGUUUAAACCAUGAAAGGGAUUGAAAACAGUUUUUAAAACGAAGAUUAUGUUACUUAGAUUUUUAAAAGGAAGGAAUUAAUUUAGCCGCCCAAAACUGCGCAAUAUUGUUUAAUUAAACGGCGAAAUAAACGGUUAUAGAAAAAAAUUCUAAUUUUGAGGUGGAUGGAUUUCCGAGAAAACUUCAAAACUAAUCUAGAUAGUUAACG